rnacentral:rRNA from 1 species
GAUGAACGCUGGCGGCGUGCCUAACACGUGCAAGUCGAGCGAUCUUCUUCGGGAGAGAGCGGCGGACGGGUGAGUAACGCGUGGGUAACCUGCCUCAUACACAUGGAUAACAUACCGAAAGGUAUGCUAAUACAAGAUGAUAUAAGAGAUUCGCAUGGAUUUCUUAUCAAAGCUUUUGCGGUAUGAGAUGGACCCGCGUCUGAUUAGCUAGUUGGUAAGGUAAUGGCUUACCAAGGCGACGAUCAGUAGCCGACCUGAGAGGGUGAUCGGCCACAUUGGAACUGAGACACGGUCCAAACUCCUACGGGAGGCAGCAGUGGGGAAUAUUGCACAAUGGGCGAAAGCCUGAUGCAGCAACGCCGCGUGAGCGAUGAAGGCCUUCGGGUCGUAAAGCUCUGUCCUCAAGGAAGAUAAUGACGGUACUUGAGGAGGAAGCCCCGGCUAACUACGUGCCAGCCGCCGCAGUAACAC